CACAACCAAACUUGUUGUUUCAACAUAAGAUUUGAGUGUCCAUGCUGCCUUGAAAUUUUAUGCCAACAUAACGAAGACAAUAAGUUAACUUAAAUAGAUAUUGCUAUUUGACUCAACUCCAUAUUCAGUCCAUAUUACUUGAAACCGUUAGAUGUAUGUUUUAAAUAGCAUUAUAAGUAACAUAGUUUUUUUGAUUUAACUGAUAUACUAGUGAGUUGUACUUACAUUUAUGAACUGAUUGAAUAUAAAGCCCAUUCAGGAUUGCUUAAAUGUAUAGUUUGAUGUAGCUACAGCAGCCAUGAUGUAGUAAUACGUCCAUGCGAUUGCUAACCCCUAUGCUUAUUAGCCUACCUGUGGGGGGGAGGGGUCAGGUUCAUGGGGGUCGCGGAUGUGGCUAGCACUAGAAUGGUGCUGCCACCAUGUGGUGAAAAGAGAAAUUGCAACGGUGGCAGGCUGGCAGGCCAUAAAUAAUACAUUUUCGUAAGGUCUUUGGACAUGCCUGCUCUAGAGGAACACAGGAUUCAUGGCUUAAGUAGGCA